rnacentral:lncRNA from 1 species
UCUAUUCAGAGGGGUAUGAAGACUGCCGAGAAUGAGGUAAAGAAAAGCUAUCUGCUGCUCAGCUGGAUCCGGCUCUUCUUAACUCCGAGGACGAAGGUGGUGCCUGAAUGUCCUUUCUGCUUUUAUUCUGACCACGUAGAAAUUUAACUAUUUAAACUGUUUAUAUUUUUGGGAUUGUUUUGAGACUUUAUGUGUGGAUUUUGACAGUGCUUCUAU